rnacentral:rRNA from 1 species
UGGGGAAUUUUGGACAAUGGGGGAAACCCUGAUCCAGCCAUCCCGCGUGUGCGAUGAAGGCCUUCGGGUUGUAAAGCACUUUUGGCAGGAAAGAAACGUCAUGGGUUAAUACCCCGUGAAACUGACGGUACCGGCAGAAUAAGCACCGGCUAACUACGUGCCAGCAGCCGCGGUAAUACGUAGGGUGCAAGCGUUAAUCGGAAUUACUGGGCGUAAAGCGUGCGCAGGCGGUUCGGAAAGAAAGAUGUGAAAUCCCAGAGCUCAACUUUGGAACUGCAUUUUUAACUACCGGGCUAGAGUGUGUCAGAGGGAGGUGGAAUUCCGCGUGUAGCAGUGAAAUGCGUAGAUAUGCGGAGGAACACCGAUGGCGAAGGCAGCCUCCUGGGAUAACACUGACGCUCAUGCACGAAAGCGUGGGGAGCAAACAGG